rnacentral:rRNA from 1 species
UACGAAGGGGGCUAGCGUUGCUCGGAAUUACUGGGCGUAAAGCGCACGUAGGCGGUCUUUUAAGUCGGGGGUGAAAUCCUGGAGCUCAACUCCAGAACUGCCUUUGAUACUGAGGAUCUUGAGUUCGGGAGAGGUGAGUGGAACUGCGAGUGUAGAGGUGAAAUUCGUAGAUAUUGGGAAGAACACCGGUGGCGAAGGCGGCUCUCUGGACCGUAACUGACGCUGAGGCGCGAAAGCGUGGGGAGCAAACAGG